rnacentral:rRNA from 1 species
GGGCCCGCACAAGCGGUGGAGUAUGUGGUUUAAUUCGAUGCAACGCGAAGAACCUUACCAGGGUUUGACAUCCUGCGAAUCUCUUGGAAACAGGAGAGUGCCUUCGGGAACGCAGUGACAGGUGGUGCAUGGCUGUCGUCAGCUCGUGUCGUGAGAUGUUGGGUUAAGUCCCGCAACGAGCGCAACCCACGUCUUUAGUUGCCAGCAUUUAGUUGGGCACUCUAGAGAGACUGCCGGUGAUAAACCGGAGGAAGGUGUGGAUGACGUCAAGUCAUCAUGCCCCUUACAUCCUGGGCUACACACGUACUACAAUGCUACGGACAAAGGGCUGCAAACCAGCGAUGGGAG